AUGAGCAACUUUUUCCUCAUAGGCAUUAUUCAGUCCUCAAAAAUAAAAAUUUCCUUUAUGAUUGCUUAAAAAAUAUUAAUAUCUAAACACUACAGAUGGGGUGGAUUUUGUUACUUUUGUUAUUAACACCUGCUCACUGCUGGCUACUAGAUUGAUUAAUUGAUUUUGGCAUUAAAUGCCACUUUCAGCACUCUUGGCUAUAUUGUGGCUGCCAGUUCUUAUUGAUGGAGGAAGCCGGAGUGCCUGGAGAAAACCACAGACCAUUGGCAGGAAAUCUUGCAAUCCUAGACAAUUAAGAUUUGAGUUUAACGCACCUGCCAUGGGCAUGGUAUGAACUCACAACUUCUUAGACCACUUGUCCACCAGGGGCCCCUCCCCUACUUGAAGUUACUGAUUUUUUUAUUGUUUAUCUUUAUGUUGUAUUGUUACACAACUGACCCAGGGUUGAGCACUCACAAACACCCAAGACACGAGCCUGUAGUUCAGUGGUUGUCCUUGGUUUCUGUCUACCACAUAUGUUUUUUGUUUUAAUUUUUUUAACUGUAAUCAGGCAAUUGUUUCACAUUUUGUUAUCCAGGUCUUAGAUAGCUUAUUAUAUGGUGGGGAUGUUGCUAAUUCUUGAAGGCCUGGUCUUAGAUAGCUUAUUAUAUGGUGGGGAUGUUACUAAUUCUUGAAGGCCUGGUCUUAGAUAGCUUAUUAUAUGGUGGGGAUGUUGGUAAUUCUUGAAGGCCUGGUCUUAGAUAGCUUAUUAUAUGGUGGGGAUGUUACUAAUUCUUGAAGGCCUGGUCUUAGAUAGCUUAUUAUAUGGUGGGGAUGUUGCUAAUUCUUGAAGGCCUGGUCUUAGAUAGCUUAUUAUAUGGUGGGGAUGUUGCUAAUUCUUGAAGGCCUGGUCUUAGGAUAGCUUAUUAUAUGGUGGGGAUGUUGCUAAUUCUUGAAGGCAUGGUCUUAGAUAGCUUAUUUUAUGAUGGGGAUGUUGCUAAUUCUUGAAGGCCUGGUCUUAGAUAGCUUAUUAUAUGGUGGGGAUGUUGGUAAUUCUUGAAUGCCUGGUCUUUGAUAGCCUAUUAUAUGGUGGGGAUGUUGCUAAUUCUUGAAGGCCUGGUCUUAGAUAGCUUAUUAUAUGGUGGGGAUAUUACUAAUUCUUGAAGGCAUGGUCUUAGAUAGCUUAUUAUAUGGUGGGGCUGUUGGUAAUUCUUGAAGGCCUGGUCUUAGAUAGCUUAUUAUAUGGUGGGGAUGUUGCUAAUUCUUGAAGGCAUGGUCUAAAAUAGCUAAUUUUAUGAUGGGGAUGUUGCUAAUUCUUGAAGGCCUGGUCUUAGAUAGCUUAUUAUAUGGUGGGGAUGUUGCUAAUUCUUGAAGUCAUGGUCUUAGAUAGCUUAUUAUAUGGUGGGGAUGUUACUAAUUCUUGAAAGUCUUAGAUAGCUUAUUAUAUGGUGGGGAUGUUGCUAAUUCUUGAAGGCAUGGUCUUAGAUAGCUUGUUAUAUAGUGAGGAUGUUGCUAAUUCUUGAAGGCAUGGUCUUAGAUAGCUUGUUAUAUGAUGGGGAUGUUGCUAAUUCUUGAAGGUCUUAGAUAGCUUAUUAUAUGGUGGGGAUGUUGCUAAUUCUUGAAGGCAUGGUCUUAGAUAGCUUAUUAUAUGGUGGGGAUGUUGCUAAUUCUUGAAGGCAUGGUCUUAGAUAGCUUAUUAUAUGGUGGGGAUGUUGCUAAUUCUUGAAGGUCUUAGAUAGCUUAUUAUAUGGUGGGGAUGUUGCUAAUUCUUGAAGGCAUGGUCUUAGAUAGCUUAUUAUAUGAUGGGGAUGUUGCUAAUUCUUGAAGGCAUGGUCUUAGAUAGCUUAUUAUAUGGUUGGGAUGUUGCUAAUUCUUGAAGGCAUGGUCUUAGAUGGCUUAUUAUAUGAGGGGGAUGUUGCUUAUUCUUGAAGGUCUUAGAUAGUUUAUUAUAUGAUGGGGAUGUUGCUAAUUCUUAACGGUCUUAGAUAGUUUAUUAUAUGAGGGGGAUGUUGCUAAUUCUUGAAGGUCUUAGAUAGCUAAUUAUAUGAUGGGGAUGUUGCUAAUUCUUGAAGGUCUUAGAUAGCUUAUUAUAUGGUGGGGAUGUUGCUAAUUCUUGACGGCCUUAGAUAGCUUAUUAUAUGGUGGGGAUGUUGGUAAUUCUUGAAGGCCUGGUCUUAGAUAGUUUAUUAUAUGAUGAGGAUGUUACUAAUUCUUGAAGGCAUGGUCUUAGAUAGCUUAUUAUAUGGUGGGGAUGUUGCUUAUUCUUGACGGCCUUAGAUAGCUUAUUAUAUGGUGGGGAUGUUGGUAAUUCUUGAAGGCCUUAAAAAGCUUAUUAUAUGGUGGGGAUGUUACUAAUUCUUGAAGGUCUUAGAUAGUUUAUUAUAUGGUGGGGAUGUUACUAAUUCUUGACAGCCUUAGAUAGCUUAUUAUAUGGUGGGGAUGUUACUAAUUCUUGAAGGUCUUAGAUAGCUUAUUAUAUGGUGGGGAUGUUACUAAUUCUUGACAGCCUUAGAUAGCUUAUUAUAUGAUGGGGAUGUUGCUUAUUCUUGACGGCCUUAGAUAGCUUAUUAUAUGGUGGGGAUGUUGCCAAUUCUUGAAGGCAUGGUCUUAGAUAGUUUAUUAUAUGAUGGGGAUGUUACUAAUUCUUGAAGGUCUUAGAUAGCUUAUUAUAUGGUGGGGAUGUUGCUAAUUCUUGACGGCCUUAGAUAGCUUAUUAUAUGGUGGGGA